GUCUUAUUGAUUUAUUUAAUAAGUCUGGCCUGCCCAGUGACGAUUUUAACGGCCGCGGUAUAUUGACCGUGCAAAGGUAGCAUAAUCAUUAGUCUUUUAAUAGGGGGCUGGAAUGAAAGGUUUAACGAGAAAUUAACUGUCUCAAUUACAGAAUUGAAUUUAUCUUUUGAGUCAAAAGACUUAAAUUUAGUUGGAGGACGAGAAGACCCUAUAGAACUUAACAUUUUUUUUCCUAUAUUUAUUUAGGUCAUUAUUAUUUAUUUAUAUUUAAAAAAUUGUUUUGUUGGGGUGACAAUAAAUAUAUAUUUAACUUUUAUCAUAUUAUGAACAUUAAUUUAUGAUUUUUGGAUCCAAAAAUUUUGAUCAUUAGAUUAAGUUACCUUAGGGAUAACAGCGUAAUCUUCCCUCAGAGUUCAUAUUUACGGGAAGGAUUGCGACCUCGAUGUUGGAUUAAGAUAAUAAUUAGGUGCAGUAGCUUAAUUAAUAGGUCUGUUCGACCUUUAAACUCUU
rnacentral:rRNA from 2 species